GAGGGAGGCAGAGGUGACGACUGCCUGGUGCUGCCGAGCGUAUUUGGCUUGGCGGUUUGGGGCGGUUCAGGCCACCCGGAAUAAUCUGAGGGGAGACUCAUUUGGAAGUUGAAAACUGGGAGUCAUCCCUGUGAUUCCAACCAUGGGUUCCUCAGCAUCUAGUCCUGUGGCUGCAGUUCAAGUCUCCAGUGCUUCAGACCCUCAACCAGCUUCACAGCCUUCAGGGCGCCCAAUGCAUAGAAGAGAAAGGGCAGGCUGUCCAAAGAGUGCAGCAGCAUCUGGUCCAAGCUGUGAGAACAAGGCACACUCCAUGCCUGCCCACCAAGAUCGGGCCUAUGAGUUCAUGGAAUGCCCCAUUAUAAACGCUGCAGCUAAGAAUAAGGAGAACUUUGACCCUUCAAAUCUGAUGCCACCACCUAAUCAGACUCCAUCCCCAGAUCAGACUUUCACACUGUCUACUGCCAGGGAGGAGUCAGCUAUUCCAAGAGCAGACUCUGAGAAAAAAUGGGUUUACCCUUCCGAACAGGUGUUCUGGAAUGCCGUGCUACGGAAAGGGUGGAAAUGGAAGGAUGAUGAUAUUAGUCAGAAAGAUAUGUAUAAUAUCAUUAGAAUUCAUAAUCAGAAUAAUGAGCAGGCGUGGAGGGAGAUUUUGAAGUGGGAAGCCCUUCAUGCUCGUGAAUGUCCUUGUGGCCCAUCAUUGGUCAGAUUCAGAGGGAAAGCAAGAGAGUAUUCACCAAGAGCAAGAAUUCGGUCAUGGAUGGGGUAUGAGUUGCCUUUUGACAGGCAGGACUGGAUCGUCAACUGUUGUGGUACAGAAGUUAGGUACGUGAUUGAUUACUAUGAUGGUGGCGAGGUCAACAAGGACUACCAGUUCACCAUCUUGGAUGUGCGUCCUGCCUUUGAUUCAUUCUCAGCAGUAUGGGACAGAAUGAAGGUCACUUGGUGGCGCUGGACUUCAUAACCACUCUU